GAGAGACAGAGAGAGAGCAAGAGAGAGAGAUAGAGAGAGAUAGAGAGAGAGAGAGCAAGAGAGAAAGAGAGAGAUAGAGAGAGACAGAGAGAGAGAGUGAGAGAGAAAGAGAGAUAGAGAGACAGAGAGAGCGAAUGAGAGGGGGUACAAGAAGAGAAGGGUCUGGGUUGGGAUCAGGGUUAGGGUCAGGGUCUGGGUUAGGAUCAGGGUUAGGGUCAGGGUCUGGUUUAGGAUCAGGGUUAGAUUCAGGAUUAGGGUCUGGGUUAGGGUCUGGGUUAGGUUCAGAGUUAGAUUCAGGGUUAGGGUCUGGGUUAGGGUUAGGAUCAGGGUCUGGGUUAGGUUCAGGGUUAGGGUCUGGGUUAGGGUCAAGGUCUAGGUUAGAAUCAGGGUCUGGGUUAGGUUCAGGGUUAGAUUCAGGGUUAGGGUCUGGGUUAGGAUCAGGGUUAGGGUCAGGGUCUGGGUUAGGGUCUGGGUCAAGGUCUGGGUUAGGGUCAGGGUUAGAUUCAGGGACAGGGUCUGGGUUAGGAUCAGGGUUGGGGUAUGGGUUAGGUUCAGGGUUAGGGUCUGGGUUAGGAUCAGGGUCUGGGUCAGGAUCAGGGUCUGGGUUAGGAUCAGGGUCUGCGUUAGGAUCAGGUUCUGGGUUAUGAUCAGGGUCUGGUUUAGGUCAGGGUCUGGGUCUGGGUUAGGAUCAGGGUCUGGUUUAGGACAGGGUCUGGGUUAGGAUCAGGGUCUGGGUUAGGAUCAGGGUCUGGGUUAGGAUCAGGGUCUGGGUUAGGAUCAGGGCCUGAAGGGCUCAGACGUCUGUGAAUCAGCAGCAGUCAGUGGGAUGAGUGGAGAGACAGCACAAUGAGAGAGUGAGGGACUGACGAGGGAUGGGGAAAAAUACAGUGUACAUUUUCACACCUCUGUGGGAGGAGCCUGACCUUGGGUUAGUACACUGGCCAAUCACACACACACACAAACACAGCCGCUCGGUAGUGGAACUUCUGUCACAGAACACCAGGGUUGUAAACACUGUGGAAACUAAGUCUUCGAACCAAAUGGCACCUUAUUCCCUAUGUACUGGACUAAUUUUGACCACAACCUAUAGGUUUUUGGUCAAAAUUAGUGCACUAUAUAGGGAAUAGGGUGCCAUUUGGGACAUAAGCUAAGCUAUGAAGUUCUGUUUACAACAUAGCGCUUUAGUAUGUGGUCUGUGCUGGGCUGGGUUUCAG
ensembl:lncRNA